rnacentral:rRNA from 1 species
GAUGAACGCUGGCGGCGUGCCUAAUACAUGCAAGUCGAGCGAACAGACGAGGAGCUUGCUCCUCUGACGUUAGCGGCGGACGGGUGAGUAACACGUGGAUAACCUACCUAUAAGACUGGGAUAACUUCGGGAAACCGGAGCUAAUACCGGAUAAUAUAUUGAACCGCAUGGUUCAAUAGUGAAAGACGGUUUUGCUGUCACUUAUAGAUGGAUCCGCGCCGCAUUAGCUAGUUGGUAAGGUAACGGCUUACCAAGGCAACGAUGCGUAGCCGACCUGAGAGGGUUGUCGACCAUCCUGGAACGGUAACACGGUACAGACUCCUACAGGAUGCAGCAGUGGAGAACCUUCCGGAACGAGCGGAAGCCUGACGGUGCAACGCCGCGUGAGUGAUGAAGGUCUUCGGAUCGUAAAACUCUGUUAUUAGGGAAGAACAAAUGUGUAAGUAACUAUUAGCGUCUUGACGGUACCUAAUCAGAAAGCCACGGCUAACUACGUG